ACGGAAGGCAGCAGUAGGGAAUUUUCGGCAAUGGGCGAAAGCCUGACCGAGCAACGCCGCGUGAACGAAGAAGUAUUUCGGUAUGUAAAGUUCUUUUAUUAGGGAAGAAAAGACAGAUUAACUGUACCUAAUGAAUAAGCUCCGGCUAACUACGUGCCAGCAGCCGCGGUAAUACGUAGGGAGCGAGCGUUAUCCGGAAUUAUUGGGCGUAAAGGGUGCGUAGAUGGCACAAAAAGUUUCUUGUUAAAAUGCGGGGCUCAACCCCGUAUCGCAAGAGAUACUGAUGAGCUAGAGUAUGACAGAGGCAAGUGGAACUCCAUGUGUAGCGGUAAAAUGCGUAAAUAUAUGGAAGAACACCAGUGGCGAAGGCGGCUUGCUAGGUCAAUACUGACAUUGAGGCACGAAAGCGUGGGGAGCAAACAGGAUUAGAUACCCUGGUA
rnacentral:rRNA from 1 species